rnacentral:rRNA from 1 species
UGGGUUUGACAUGCAGGGAAAUCUCGUAGAGAUACGGGGUCCUUUUGGGCCUUGCACAGGUGGUGCAUGGCUGUCGUCAGCUCGUGUCGUGAGAUGUUGGGUUAAGUCCCGCAACGAGCGCAACCCUCGUCCUAUGUUGCCAGCGAGUAAUGUCGGGGACUCAUAGGAGACUGCCGGGGUCAACUCGGAGGAAGGUGGGGAUGACGUCAAGUCAUCAUGCCCCUUAUAUCCAGGGCUGCACACAUGCUACAAUGGCCGGUACAAAGAGCUGCGAUACCGCAAGGUGGAGCGAAUCUCAUAAAGCCGGUCUCAGUUCGGAUUGGGGUCUGCAACUCGACCCCAUGAAGUCGGAGUCGCUAGUAAUCGCAGAUCAGCAACGCUGCGGUGAAUACGUUCCCGGGCC